rnacentral:sRNA from 1 species
AUCGACACGUUCUCAUGACAUGUCGUCGCCAUCGACAUUUCCGGCGAUCUUUUUCGGCCGGGAAGGAAGCUUCAGAGCCGUUGCGGCCGGACUGAC